rfam:Triticum aestivum genome assembly, contig: Triticum_aestivum_CS42_TGACv1_scaffold_485985_6AS
AAUAUACUUCCUCCAUCCCAAAAUUCUUGUCUUAGAUUUGUCUAGAUAUAGAUAUAUCAAGUCACAUUUUAGUAUUAGAUGCAUCCGUAUCUAGACAAAUCUAAGACAAGAAAUUUGGGACAGAGGGAGUACAUA